UUUUCUCAGGUCAGCUUCAAAGCUGUUUUUGGCUCUCUCACACCACUGACACACACAUACACACACACGCGAGAAACAACAACAACAAAAACAGCGACCCCUCUUCCCUCGAGAGAUCAGCAAGCAGAAACAACUGCAACAGUAGCUGCGCGGUAUUCUCUCUCUUCCGCCUUGGUCUUCUGUCACGCGCGCCGUCUCUGCUCGGCGCCUGACAGACGCCACAGAAAAGUAAACAGCAAAGAAACAUAACGAGGUGUGUCUUUGCAGCGGCCCAUAGGCACACGAUCACACGUACGCGUACGCGUGUACGAGGUGGCACGGAAAACACAUGCAAAGCUCAUCACUACAAAAGAAGCGUCCGCUCAUUUUAUUUUCUGCUCAUCCUUUUUGUUUGCGGCUCUGAGGACGCAGCGGUCCAUCAUUACGAAGUGGCAAGUUGUCUUCCCCCUCAUCCCUUUCUUGUUGCCGCCUCUUGCUUUCCGCAUUGCCGGUAACAAAAGACGUCCUUCCACCAAGGGAAACGCACCCAACCUGCUCCACGCACACACACGAGAACAAAACACAGAAGGAAAGCUCAGGCAAAAAAGUAAGAGGAAAGAAAACAACAGCAAGGCAUACGAAAAAAAAAAGAAAACAAAGAAAAGAGUUGUCACCACCGCUGGCUGAAGGGGAUAUUGUUGCGUGCAUAGAUCUCUCUAUUAUUUCCGUCUUUCGUCUCCCCUUCUCUGUUUUGUUUUGUGGCUUCUCUGGAGCUCAGACUGCCUCAGUCAUCCUCUUCCCACCCCCUCGCCUGUUACGUAUUUGGUGUUUUGUUCUUUUUUUUUUGUCUCCACGCCGUGCUGCUUUCGCUCUUCUCAGUAGGGCAAGAGAAAAAAGGGAAAGGGGACGUCUGCCCUCCUCCUCUGCCUUUAUUUGUUUCAGUCGCGUGCGUUUCUUGGCGUUGCUGCUUGCAGACACCGUCGCUUGCCUUCUGCACUUACUCGCUGUUUGUGUUUCUUUUUCGCUCUUCGAGGUUGUCGCGCUGGGCAUCAAGUCUGUGUGGAACCACAGGAGACCAUGCAAUCCUCUGGUCCCCCUGGAAAACCGCCGUGGGGCGGAGGUCGCGGCCCCUGGGGCGCCAAUAACAGCAGCGCCAACAACGCUGUCGUUCAGCCAUCCUUUCACGACAGGAGCACCAGAAGAGGCCCCAGCGGAAAGAUCAACACCACCAACAACAGUGGCAACAACAACAACCAACCUGCAAAGCAGAGCCACGCUCACGACAGCACGGCAGAGCAGAGCAUCCAAAGUGGAGAUCCGAUGGGCAGCCCAGCGGAUCGGAAGGCGCCUGAUGUACAGGCCCGUGACGUGGGGGGCUUUUACGGGAAGGAAAAGCCAACUGCGAGCUCUCGCUCGCAGCAAGGAAAUCGUGGCCAUGCCACCGCCAGCGUGGGCAGCGACGGCGGCGCAGGUGCUGUGGGGACCAGUGCGGCGAUCGAUGCCACGCUGAAGCGUCUGACGGUGCUUCUCAACCGAAGGUUCUUCCACUCCAAUCAGCAGCAGGGGGUGUCGCAUCAGCAAAACUCUGUGGCGCAAAGCAGCUUGUCAGAGGAUAUCUUUACGGGUGGCGUGCAGACGAACAGCUUCGUGUCCGAGUGCAUGCAGGCGCAGAGGCCCGUGGCGCUGCUCACCCACUCUGGCGAGCCGCUGUCGCCGCGCGGCGAUCGCGUCGGUGGAUCUGGCCGCUCGGCGUACCAGGCGCAACGCAAGAUUUCGCUGGAUAUGCUACUCUCCAGCGUUGACGAUAUCGUGUCACAGGUAUACGUGAACUUUGACGAGGAUCUCACCAAGGUACUGCUCAACGCACUCGAUCGCGUCACGGCGUGCGACACACUGGAUCAGAGGGAGCGAACAAAGGUGCGCGUGAUCGACGAGCUGCUUGAGGUGCUCGGAGACAAGCAUUACGACCUGCUGCAGUGCGUUAUGUACCGCCCUCGCGAGGUCUUCCUCCGGCUCCUGGAGGAGUUCUGCACCUUGGAGGAUGCCGGGGAUGCCACGACGAGCCAGUCCUCUAGCGGCCCGAAGGGGCUGACGGUGCGCUUCGUGAAGAACAAUCAGCGCUCGCAGGGGCAGGAUGUGGUGAUCAACGACGCGGGCAAGCUCACCGACCAGAAGUGGCUUGCCCACAUGAACAGGCGCUACCGUGUCUUGAUGCAGGAGUCCGAGCUGGAUGAGCUCUUUAAGCGGGACUUCAGCGUGACCGGGUCCAUUAUGCCGACAGGCGCUACUGUCACCAAAAAGUCGGGGCACGUGCGCAUCCACAUUCCCCCUCCAAGGCAGGAGAUCUUACCUGAGAGCAAGCGCGUCUGCGUUGCGACGUCCCUGCCAGAGUGGACACACCCAGCCUUUCUCUCCAUCACGCACCUCAACACGAUUCAGACAACGAUCUUUGAGACAGCGUUUCACACAUCGCAGAACAUGCUGGUGUGCGCGCCGACGGGUGCGGGUAAGACGGUGUGUGGGCUGCUUGUGAUGCUGCGGUGCAUCAGCGAGCACUUUGAGGGCGGUGUGCUGGAUCGAGACUUCAAGAUCAUCUUUGUUGCCCCAAUGAAGGCGCUCGCGCAGGAGAUGGUUGAGAACUUCUCGCGCCGCCUGGCACCGUUCAUGAUAAAGGUGCGCGAGCUUACGGGCGACAUGCAGCUGACCAAGCGGGAGCUGGCGGAGACGCAGGUGAUCGUGACAACGCCGGAGAAGUGGGACGUCAUCACCCGCAAGCAGAGCAACGAGGAGCUGGUAAGCCAAGUGCGGCUCAUCAUCAUGGAUGAGAUUCAUCUCCUGAACGAAGAGCGCGGCCCGGUGCUAGAGGCGUUGGUCGCGCGCACACUGCGGCACGGCGAGCUGAAUCCGGAGCAGCGCGUCCGUCUGGUGGGCCUCUCCGCCACGCUGCCCAACUACAAGGACGUGGCGAACUUCCUGCAGGCGGACUUGCGGGAGGGUCUGAAGGUGUUCGGCCCGGAGUAUCGCCCUGUCCCGCUGGAGCAGACAUUUAUUGGCCUGCAAAACACAUCUGGGGCGCAGAAGCGCAACAAGGAGUUCGAGCUCGAUCGCCUGGCGUAUGAGGAGGUGGUGAAGAAUGUGCGGGAGGGGCACCAGGUAAUGGUGUUUGUGCACUCGCGGAAGCAGACGGUGGGGCUGGCCAAGUACUUUAUCGAGGAGUCGACGCGCCGUGGGGAGGAGCACCUGUUUCAGUACAAAGGUGUCAUGCCCUCAGCGAUCGAGAAGAAGGGCCGCACGCUCCAGGGACGCGACUUGACCUCGUUAUUCGCCGCGGGCUUUGGCGCGCACCACGCCGGCCUCGUUCGCUACGACCGCACCACUACCGAAGGCUUCUUCAGGGACGGGUACUUGCGAGUGCUGUGCUGCACGAGUACCCUGGCGUGGGGUGUGAACCUGCCGGCGCACACGGUGGUCAUUCGCGGCACGCAAAUGUACGACCCCAAGCGCGGUGGCCUCGUCUCCAUUUCGGUGCUGGAUGUGAUGCAGAUCUUCGGCCGCGCUGGUCGUCCGCAGUUCGACACGAGCGGACAUGGCAUCAUCAUCUCAGAUGACAAGGAGGUGAGCCACUUCCUCCGGCUCAUCGCACACGCCCUGCCUAUCGAGAGCCAGAUGCAAGGUAAGCUGUGCGACCACCUGAACGCCGAGGUGAACGCCGGCACGAUAUCCUCCGUGAUGGAGGCCUCCUCGUGGCUGGAGUACACGUACAUGUGGCAGCGGAUUCGGGUGAAUCCGCUGACGUACGGGCUGAAGGUGAACAAUGUUCGCAAAGACCCGGAGCUCAAGACAGUGCGGUACAGUAUGAUCAACACUUCGUUCACCGAACUCGCCAUUGCGGGCAUGGUGCGCUACAACCCGGAGACGGGCUCGGUGGAGAGCACCGAUCUCGGCCGUCUCGCGAGCCACUACUACAUCACCUACGAGAGCAUCAGUAUAUUCAACGAGAAGAUGCGCCGCCCCGAUGACACGUGGAUCGACGCGUUGGACAUGGGCACCGCCAUGAACAUCGCCGCCUCGGCAAAGGAGUUCAGCCAGCUGAAAGUGCGGCAGGAGGAGCUGGAUGAGCUGCAGAACCUGCACCAGCUGCUGCCGAAGCAGGUGCGUGAGUACCGGGUGAGUGGCGAGAGCGCCGACGAGACAAGCACGCAGUGGAAGGUGACGACGUUGCUCAAGGCGUACAUCAACCGCCUUUCUGUUGAGACGCAUUCUCUGUCCUCCGACAUGUUGUACGUGCUGCAGAACAUGCCCCGCAUCUGCCGCGCCCUCUUCGAGAUUGAGCUGGAGCGUGGCCACCCCCUCACCACGUACACGUACUUGACGCUGUGCAAGUGCAUUGAGCACCGCUGCUGGGACUUUGAGCACCCGCUGAUGCAGUUCGCGAAUUGGAGCCACCGGGUGAACAUCACAGACGCGGUGUGGAUGAACCUGAACAAGUGCAACCCGAGCAUGCAGCUGCUGCAAGAGAUGACGGCGAAGGAGGUGGGGGAGAUGGUGCACAACGUGCGCGCCGGUCGCGACAUUGCCGAUCUGGUGUCGAAGUUUCCCUCGGUGAACAUCGACAUUGAUGUGCAGCCCAUCACCCGCUCCAUCCUGCGCGUCAAGGUGACGAUUGAGGCGGAUUUUGUGUGGAGUCGCGACUUGUCCGGCAACUCCGAGGUGUUCUGGCUGCUGGUGGAGGACCAGGACAACCACUUCAUCUUCCACCACGAGUCGGUCACGCUCACACGCAAGGAGGUGGAGACCGGCACGCCGCACGUGGUGAAUCUUGCUGUUCCGAUUGUGCCCCAGUACGACAUGUACGCGGUGCGCCUCUACAGUGACCGCUGGAUGGGCUGCAAGGAGGACUACACCUUCUCCAUCGGCCACCUGCACCUUCCGGAGGACUCGCAGAUGACGACGAAGCUGCUGCCGCUGAGCCCGCUUCGGCUGCACGUGAUCCCGGAGGAGUACCAUGCUAUGUACCGAAACUACCGCCAGUUCAACGCGGUGCAGACGCAAAUCUUCUACACCAUGUUUCACACAGACCAGAACGUCUUCCUUGGUGCGCCGACGGGCAGUGGUAAGACGAUUGCGGCAGAGAUGGCCAUCCUCCGCGUGUUUGAGCAGUAUCCCGGGAAGAAGGUGGUGUAUAUCGCGCCGCUCAAGGCCCUUGUGAAGGAGCGGCUGCGUGACUGGAAGGCCCGCAUGAUGCUUGUGGGGCGCUCCGUGGUGGAGCUGUCGGGUGAUGCGACGCCGGACAUUAGCGCGCUCGCCAAGGCGGACAUCUUGUGCACGACUCCGGAGAAGUGGGAUGGCAUUUCGCGUAACUGGCAGGUGCGCAGCUACGUCACGGCCGUGAAGCUGGUUGUGUUUGAUGAGGUGCACAUGCUGGGCACCGACCGUGGUCCGAUUCUGGAGGUGAUUGUGAGCCGCAUGCGCUACAUCGGGUGGAACCGGAAGGCGCCGAUCCGCUUGGUAGGUCUCUCCACGGCCGUCUCGAACCCGGGCGACCUGAGCUCGUGGCUUGGUGUGGAGAAGAAGUGGGCCGUGUUCAACUUUGACCCGUCAGUGCGUCCGGUGCCGAUGACCGUGCACAUUGCGGGCUACCAUGGCAAGAACUACUGCCCCCGCAUGGCCACCAUGAACAAGCCGACGUACAACGCCAUUUGCGAGAAGAGCCCAACGCAGCCGGUGAUUGUGUUCGUCUCGUCGCGGCGGCAGACGCGACUGACGGCCAUGGCCCUCAUCGGCUUCCUGCUGAUGGAGGGCAACACGGCCAAGUGGGUGCACAUGAAUGUGGAUCAGGUGCAGGAGUACACCUCAAAGCUGGAUGACCCGUACGUGAAGCACUGCCUGCAGUUCGGCGUCGGCAUCCACCACGCCGGGUUGCUGGAGGGCGACCGCACGAUUGUGGAGGAGGCCUUCCUGUCAAAUCGCAUUCAGGUUCUGGUAGCGACGUCGACCUUGGCGUGGGGUGUCAACUUCCCUGCGCACAUGGUUGUGGUGAAGGGCACCGAGUACUACGACGCCAAGACAAACUCCUACGUGGACUUCCCGAUCACGGAUGUGCUGCAAAUGAUCGGCCGUGCCGGGCGUCCGCAGUUUGACACGGAGGGCGUGGCCCAGGUGCUGUGCCACGAGCCGAAGAAGGGCUUCUACCGCAAGUUCCUCUACGACCCUUUCCCGGUGGAGAGCGCGCUGCACAAGCAGCUGCACGUCCACAUCAAUGCCGAAAUUGUGUCGGGGACGAUCAACACUCGUCAGGAUGCAGUGAACUACCUGACGUGGACCUACCUCUUUCGCCGAAUUGCACGCAACCCCUCCUACUACGGCCUGGAGGACGGCUCUCCCAAGGCGGUCACCAUCUUCCUCUCCACCCUGGUGAAGGGCGUGCUGGCGGACCUUGAGCGGUGCGGCUGUAUUGAACAGCCGGAUGCAAUGGACGAGGAUGCAGACCCGGAUGCGAUUCAGUACACCGUCCUAGGCAAGUUGUGUUCGUACUACUACAUCUCCCACAUCACGGUGGACUUGUUCAACCGCAACAUCGAGCCGGAUCACUCCUGCGGCGAGCUUCUGCGUCUCCUGUGCGACGCGGAGGAGUUCAACGAGUUGCCGGUGCGCCACAACGAAGACAAGCUGAACAUGGAACUGGCGCGUCAGCUGCCGCUGCCUGUCCGCGACGCAGAGGCGGACAGUCCGCAUGCCAAGGCGUUCCUCCUCUUCCAGGCGCUCUUUGAGCGUGCGCCGAUGCCUAUCACUGACUACAUUACAGAUCAGAAGUCCGCCAUGGACAACGCAGUGCGUGUGAUUCAGGCCAUGGUGGACGUGGCCGCCAACAACGGCCACCUGUACGCCGCGCUGCGUUGCAUGACGCUCAUGCAGUGCAUGGUGCAGGCCCGCUGGUGGGACGAUAACUCUCUGCUGCAGAUCCCGAAUGUAGUCAAGGCGAUGCUUCCGGUGAUUGAAAAGGAGUGCGACGGGGUGCGUCACGCGGCGGAGCUGGCGAACCGCCCGUUGGCAGUGCUGCAGAAGUUCCAGAAGGUGCUCGAGAUGCCCGUAUUCGGGCUGCGAGAGCGGGACGUGAACGAGUCGAUGGAGGCGGUGCGCGGGCUGCCGCUCAUCCAGGUCGACCUCACCAUUCAGCAGCAGCAUCCUGCUGCAGCGGAGGAAAUGAAUGCGGAAGACGAGGAGACCGUCGUGACGUACGAGCUGGCGGUGCAUCUGCAGCGGCUUUCCUUCGGACAGAAGAGCGUCAUCGCGCCGCACUUCUCGAAGGCCAAGGAUGAGCAGUACUGGGUAGUUGUCGGCCACGAGCCGACAGGCGAGCUUGUUGCGUUGAAGCGUGUGAAUCGGCUGCGACAGAGCAGCACGGCGACGCUGCGGAUCGACUGGGACGAGGACUGGGUGCAGUACAGCCCCGACGGCACCGUGGAGCUGAAUCUGUAUCUCGUGUGUGACUCGUAUAUCGGCAUGGAUCAGCAGUACAGCUUCAUCCUUCCUCAGUUCAAACUGAGCUGCUGCUCCGGCGGCGCAGAAGGGAGUUGCUAGGAGUACCUUCGAGUGCAUUGUGAAUGGCAAGAUCGUGCUGCACGAGCACGAGCACAUAAACGUGCAUACACACAUACACACACACACACAGACACACCAAGACGUAUAUGCUCUUCCUUGUGUAAAACGGGUGUGAGUAUCCACACCAGCAGUAUGUGCGGUCGCUGCUGCUUGCGUCACUUGAAGGUACGGCACGCGGAGUCACUGCGGUUGACAUCUCGGGCACGGGCAGAGAGCACUUGAGGUCACAGUGAGGGGCGUCGCUCCCUUCCCAGCAUCUAUGCUGCUCUUUCGACU
rnacentral:misc_RNA from 1 species